rnacentral:lncRNA from 1 species
GUGAGACAAGGUCUCACUAAGUUGCUGAGAGUCUAAGUUGCUGAUGCUGGUCUUGAACUUACCAUCCUUCUGCCUCAGCCUCCUGAGUUGUUGAGAUUACAGGCCUGCACUUCUGUGCCAUGUCUACCUGAGGACUCUAAAGUCUCAGGUGCCCAGAGUGACCAUGCCUGACCUCUGACCUUCCCACAGUGAGGACGUGUGCAAACGUGGCUUCACCGUCAUCAUUGACAUGCGGGGCUCCAAGUGGGACCUCAUCAAGCCCCUCCUCAAAACGCUACAGGAAGCCUUUCCAGCUGAGAUCCAUGUGGCCCUCAUCAUCAAACCCGACAACUUCUGGCAGAAACAGAAGACCAACUUUGGCAGCUCCAAAUUCAUCUUUGAGGUAAACCUGACUUCUUUUCUACCUCCC